rnacentral:rRNA from 1 species
UACGGAGGGUGCAAGCGUUAAUCGGAAUUACUGGGCGUAAAGCGUGCGUAGGCGGCCUGUUAAGUCAGAUGUGAAAGCCCUGGGCUCAACCUGGGAACUGCAUUUGAAACUGGCGGGCUAGAGUUAGGUAGAGGGGAGUGGAAUUUCAGGUGUAGCGGUGAAAUGCGUAGAUAUCUGAAGGAACACCAGUGGCGAAGGUGGCUCCCUGGACUCAAACUGACGCUGAGGUACGAAAGCGUGGGUAGCAAACAGG